AUUGAACGCUGGCGGCAGGCCUAACACAUGCAAGUCGAGCGAGCGGCGGACGGGUGAGUAAUGUAUGGGGACUGCCCGAUAGAGGGGGAUAACUACUGGAAACGGUGGCUAAUACCGCAUACUAUCGGAUAACCCAUAUGGGAUUAGCUAGUAGGUGGGGUAAAGGCUCACCUAGGCGACGAUCUCUAGCUGGUCUGAGAGGAUGAUCAGCCACACUGGGACGGAGACACGGCCCAGGCUCCUCGGGAGGCAGCAGGUGGGAAUAUUGCACAAUGGGCGCAAGCCGGAUGCAGCCAUUCCGCUUGUAUGAAGAGGGCCUUAAGGUUGUAAAGUACUUUCAACGGGGAGGCGUUACCCGCAGAAGAAGCACCGGCUAACUCCGUGCCAGCAGCAGCGGUAAUAC
rnacentral:rRNA from 1 species